rnacentral:lncRNA from 1 species
CCUGGGGUUGCCUAGUCUUCUCAGAACCUUGUUUUCACACACAUGAAGGAGUGCAACCACACCACCCACAGACUUCAAAAUUUACACUGGCUCGUCAUUCAGUUAAGGAUCUUUCCUAAAUUGCCUUCCUUGUUAUUUUGAAUUUUCUCCCUGACCUUCCUCCAGUUCCCUGAAAUGGCUUCACCUCUGUCAGCUUCUCCCUCACUCUGUGGCUUCAGUAUCAACCAUCAAGUCCUGGAGAGGACUGGCUUCCUGUUCCACCAAUAAAUCCCUGUCAGCUGAGGCGGGUGCAUAGCGAGAACUCUCCUUGCUGCCUUUUUUCCCAGCCCAAUUCUUCCUGCUCAUCCCUACCAAAUUCUUUUUCUCCCAGAGAGGUUUUUAUGACAUCCUUGCUCCAAAUCCAUUUACAAGAUUCAGUCCAAAAUCAUCAGCUGGAUAUAAUGGACCCCCCACAAUCUGGCAUCUUAAACCUUAUCUACUGCAAUUGCUCUUGCACCUUGAUUCCAGUUAGCAAUGCCUGUUCUCUAUUUUAAACAAUGACUAAUUUAUCCAACUCUAUUCAUUUGCUCAAACUAUUUUCUUGCCUACAAUAGCCUCCCAACAUUUUUCCACUCAAUCUGAGAACUCCCAAGAUUCCUUCAGCUGUUUCUACUACCUUUGGACAUGGAAUUUCAACAUAAAAAAGCAUUUUUCAGAGUUUCACUCUUGUCGCCCAGGCUGGAGUGCAAUGGUGCGAUCUUGGCUCACUGCAACCUCCGCCUCCCAGGUUCAAGCAACUCUCCUGCCUCAGUCUCCCGAGUAGCUGGGAUUACAGGUUAUCAUGAGAGUGAGCCAAGGAGGAACAACUAGAGGAUGGAGUGGAGGAUCAGACAAAGCUUACCCAAGAAGUAAGAUAAAGGCUGAGAAGCUGAGGCUUGAGAAGACUUUAGGCAGGGUAAUAGUAAAAGAAGGAUCAUUCCUGGGACAAAGAACAUAAUGGUGCAAAGGUCUUUACCUAAGAAGCAUCAGUACAAGUACUAGGGACAGAGGGGGUAGAAGUGAGACAGAGAGUGGCUGGACAAAACAGGGUUCCAUCAAGCCAGGCCUCACUGGGCCAUCUUAACCUAAAAAUGCAGCUGAGGCCUGGAAGAGCCAUGUAAGCUGGAACAUCUAAAAAAGCUUUUUCCCUCCAUUCAUUUAAGAGGCUUAAGUCAUUUGGAAAAAACAUGUAUCCUAAAAUAUCAAUAAAUUAUAUGCAACUUCUCUCCCUUUAUACUGGAAGUCCUAGAUCUACAGAUAUAAUCUAAGUAUCUGUGCUUAAAUCAUUGAAAGCACAUUUAUAGAACACUAUUUUUAGAAAACUAAAUAUUCUCUCUUAACUAUAGUAUAAGUUUGUGGCUAUUACCUCUAGCAAAUCUUGAGAAACGUAGGAAGAAGGUCAUAGAAGUUUUCAAAUGCAACAAAAUGCAUUUCAACAAAAUACUGAAGUUUGAGUAAAAUACAAGACAGAAA